rnacentral:rRNA from 1 species
UACGGAGGGUGCAAGCGUUGCUCGGAAUUACUGGGCGUAAAGGGCGUGUAGGCGGUUUCGUAUGUCUGGCGUGAAAGCCCCGGGCUCACCUCGGGAAGUGCGUCGGAAACUGCGAGACUAGAAUCCCGGAGAGGGAGGUGGAAUUCCAGGUGUAGCGGUGAAAUGCGUAGAUAUCUGGAAGAACACCGGUGGCGAAGGCGGCCUCCUGGACGGUGAUUGACGCUGAGACGCGAAAGCGUGGGGAGCAAACAGGAUUGAAGAACCCCUGGUA